GUCCGAACUACUGACAUUUCCAAUAGGACUUACAGGAUUUUCUUUUUGCUAUCAAGAGAUUAAUAAGAAAUGAGAGGAACCCUCAAAAUCCUAAGAUCAAAGUACUAUGGAAACUGCUUUGCCCAAAAUUUGGUUCACUGCCUUCAUAAUAUUGGCUGUCAGGAAAAAUCAAAACCUUAACAUUUAGCCACAUGAAUAUAACCUUAAUUUUGUCAGAGAUAUAAUUUGGAUCCAACUGCCUUCUCAUCAACUGGAGUGUUUUCAGUCUCUGUCAUCCACGGUUUUAAUUCCUCUUUGAAUAUAUCUGCAAUCGAAUUCAUAAAAAACGACUCUGACAUGUACUAUUGAAGACAGGUUUCUGAUAACUUCAAGAAGAAUGAACUAAGUAAAAAUGUCUAUAACGCUAAUGAAGAAACUACUAAGAUAAAACAGAAGCAAAGUUAAUUACAUGAGAUUAAAUAUCGUCAAAUGAAGGUAGAUAUUUGAAACAUUGUGGGGUUUUUUACUUACAUGUUUUGUUUUUCAGAUUUAAAGAAACUUUCUGUCUUAAACUAUCUAUAGUUGACAGCAAUUUGGUAAAGUAUACUUUUGUGAACAAAAGUGGAAACAUUUACUUUUCUCUGUACUUCAUUGCUCCAAAAUUUGAAGAUGGAGGACAACUUUUAACAGAAUAAUGCUGUCCCAGAGAUUUGAGAUGAGGGCCCAUAUCUAUGAAACAGACAAAAUUAAACUUAACAAUGAACUCCGCGUAUACCUGGUCUAAGAGCUGCUCCCUUCAAAAUUUCCUUAUUGCUCAAAAGUAGCUAAAAGGGUUUUGACACAGACUCCUAAUUGCCAACUACUUCCUCUGAUGUGAGACCGAACCAAGAAGUCAGGAUAGGUUAUCCCGGCACGGAGAGAUGAUCAAACCAAAUCAGAAAUGCUUUCAGAGACAGAUCUUCAUCCACAGGAGGAAAUGUGAACAUUGGAAAAGUCAAAAUGGAGUCACUUAUGUCCAACCCUGACAAAUGAAACUCAGAAAGGCCACAAGGGGAGGACACUCAUGCCCUAUGCUUGUUAAGAAAAACUACUACAAAAGACUCUGCAAAAAUUACAACGUUGUACAAAGGUCAUCACAAUCUUAUACCAAAAAAUAUAUAUAUUUCUGUGAGGAUAUCUGCCCAACAACUUCCCAUUCUACCUUGGGCUGACACUACCCUUGUUAUUGAUCCUUGUAGGGAAGGAUAAUUCUUCUGAAAAACUUAUGUAACCCUCCUCAUUUUUUUCUUUACAAACUUUUGUCUUUACCACCUUGAAUAUACCUGCAGGUUAUUGUCAUUGCCAAAUAAAUAUCAUUUCCUUUUAGAGAGCCUUUCCCACUGUUAUUUACUUUGGCAGAAAAACUGAGAUGACAUUCAGUGUCUGCCACUCUCUGAGCUUACUCAUGAGUCAGGUGGCCAGAGGCGGAUGCACACAGGUUGCUGUGCUUCUGCACAUGGGACCCUGCAAUCCUAGUGUCAUUAUUGCCCCACCUAUUUCCCUCUGACAUUUUAGUGAGCUCCAACCUGUUUCCAGCUCCAGUAUCUGCAACUCUUAGCCUGAGGCUUUUUUGCCUCCCACCAGAACUCACAAAUGUGACUCUUCCCAGGUAAGAAAAAAGGAAUGAUAAAAGGUGACCAGGAGUUAACAUCCCCAGAGAGCAGCCUUCAACCAGUGAACUAGGAGAUUGGUGUAUAAAUACCUCUGUUCUCUCCAUAUCUGGAUGGGAUCAUUCUAAGGCAUGUGUUCCAUGCUGGGUUUUCCCCAAGGAAUUAAACUUAACUCACCCAGAGGCUGGGCGCAGUGGCUCAUCUCUAAAAAUAGCUGGGCGUUGUAGCAGGAGCCUGUAAUUCCAUCUACUUGGGAGGCUGAGGCAAAAGAAUUGCUUUAGCCCAGGAAUUUGAAGCUGCUGUGAGCUAUGACGCCACGGCACUCUACCAAGGUGACAGAGUGAGACUCUGUUAAAAAAAAACAAAACCUGAAUUCCCCCACUAUGGUAACUGGCCUAAUAAGGCAACUCCUCUUCCUAUGUCUCUUCUGCACAGCGCUACCCUUUUUCCUUGCACCUUCUAAAUAAAAACUCAUGCUUAAA